rnacentral:rRNA from 1 species
UCUGGUUGAUCCUGCCUGAACUGAUGUGUUCAUUUCAAAGAUUAAGCCAUGCAUGUAUAAGUAUAAUCUGCCAGUCAGAGAAACUGCGUACGGCUCAUUACACCAGCCUUAAUUUACUUGACCUUGACACCCUACUUGGAUAACUGUGGUAAUUCUAGAGCUAAUACAUGCACCAAAGCUCCAAUCUCCCCAGAGCGGAGCGCAUUUGUUCGCCACAAAACCAAGCGCCUCAGGGCGUUCAGUGUUGACUCAGAACAACUAAGCUGAUCGCACGGUCUUGCACCGGCGACGUGUCUUUCAAGUGUCUGCCUUAUCAACUUUCGAUGGUAGUGUAUCUGACUACCAUGGUGAUGACGGGUAACGGAGGAUAAGGGUUCGACUCCGGAGAAGGGGCCUGAGAAAUGGCCACUACGUCUAAGGAUGGCAGCAGGCGCGCAAAUUACCCACUCUCGACGCGAGGAGGUAGUGACGAGAAAUAACGAGACCGUUCUCAUCUGAGGCCGGUCAUCGGAAUGGGUACAAUUUAAACCCUUUAACGAGUAUCUAUGAGAGGGCAAGUCUGGUGCCAGCAGCCGCGGUAAUUCCAGCUCUCAAAAUGCAUAGAAUUAUUGCUGCGGUUAAAAAGCUCGUAGUUGGAUCUGUGCUGAGCGACCGGUCUGCCCACUGGGCACGCACUGGCUCGCCCGGCUUUCCCUGCCGGUCUCUCUCUGACGUUGGUUUUAACCGGCUGGCGUCAGUGGGCUGGCGAGUUUACUUUGAACAAAUCAGAGUGCUUCAAACAGGCGUCUCGCCUGAAUGUUCGUGCAUGGAAUAAUAGAAGAGGAUCACGGUCCGAUUUUAUUGGUUUUGCUGACCGAGAUAAUGGUUAACAGAGACAAACGGGGCCAUUCGUAUUGCUACGUGAGAGGUGAAAUUCUUGGACCGUAGCAAGACGGACUACAGCGAAAGCAUUUGGCAAGAAUGUCUUCAUUAAUCAAGAACGAAAGUCAGAGGUUCGAAGGCGAUCAGAUACCGCCCUAGUUCUGACCGUAAACGAUGCCAACUAGCGAUCCGCCGGCGGAUUCAUUCGCCCUGGUGGGGAGCUUCCCGGAAACGAAAGUCUUCCGGUUCCGGGGGAAGUAUGGUUGCAAAGCUGAAACUUAAAGGAAUUGACGGAAGGGCACCACCAGGAGUGGAGCCUGCGGCUUAAUUUGACUCAACACGGGGAAACUCACCCGGCCCGGACACCGUAAGGAUUGACAGAUUGAUAGCUUUUUCAUGAUUCGGUGGAUGGUGGUGCAUGGCCGUUCUUAGUUCGUGGAGCGAUUUGUCUGGUUUAUUCCGAUAACGAGCGAGACUCUGGCCUACUAAAUAGUUGGCACAUUGCCACUGUGUGCACAACUUCUUAGAGGGAUUUUCGGUGUUCAGCCGCACGAAAUUGAGCAAUAACAGGUCUGUGAUGCCCUUAGAUGUCCGGGGCUGCACGCGCGCUACACUGGCAAAAUCAGCGUGCUUGUCCUCCCCCGAAAGGGGUUGGUAAACCGAUGAAAAUUUGCCGUGAUUGGGAUCGGACAUUGCAAUUAUUGUCCGUGAACGAGGAAUCCCUUGUAAGGGCGAGUCAUCAACUCGUCCUGAAUACGUCCCUGCCCUUUGUACACACCGCCCGUCGCUGCCCGGGACUGAGCCAUUUCGAGAAAACCGGGGAUUGUUGGCCUGACGGCUCUCGGGUC